ensembl:ncRNA F57C7.7 ncRNA
UCAGGAUGCAGAAAAGGGAGAGAGAGUUAUAGGAUCGAAAGUGAAACAAAACAAAGGAAACGGAAUCAGAUAACACCCCGGGACGGGAGAGGGCAAGUUGCGCCUAGUAUGCGCCUCCCAGAUGAUGACCU